CUCCUCCUCCCCAGGAGAAGCCCACGCAUUUUGACUUUCAUGGUAAGGAUUCUUGAACUUGAGCUUUAGAAGAGGUUUUGGAUCCUUUCUCGUUGAAUUAGAUACUGAAGGUGUACUAACUUUCUCGUCGUUCAGGUCAUCACAAGAAGCGGGCCCAGCUUCUGCAUGUUUCAAGGAAGCUAAUUUGUUGCCCCUUGUCUUUCUCGUUGAAUUAGAUACUGAUGGUGUACUAAUUUUCUCGUCGUUCAGGUCAUCACCAGAAGCGGGCCCAGCUUCUGCAUGUUUCAAGGAAGCCAAUUUGUUACCCCUUGUGGCAGGAACUUCAGCUCCAGCCCUUGUAAUAACACUACCAUCAUUGCUUCUCUUUCCUAAGAUACCAAAAGUCUUG
rnacentral:lncRNA from 1 species